GUGUUGAGUACUCAAUGAUUCUAGUUGAAAGAAAGAAAAAAGGAAGGAAGAAAGGAGGAAGAGGCAGGCACAAGACAAAAUGAAUCUCUCCAUUGUGCACAUGGAGCCUUAGCUCUGAUUCCAGUUGAGCAAAAUUAUGAAGAUGAUUCCCCAUAUGGAGGACAGAUAAACACCCUGCGGCGAGUGUCUCACUACCCAAAGGCCCUCUGAAGGAUCGCGCAUGUCCUGACUGCACAGCCUGCUCCUGACAAUGCUCUCAAAGCCACAGCUGUAAUAGAAAGUGGAAAAUUAAAGCAGAUCCAUGUGGCCUCAGCAUCACGAAAACAAGGAAUAAAUGGAUGUUACUACUGCUAGUACUGCUUCUGCUGCCAAGUUUUUGAGCACAUAACCAGGAUGACAGCCACAGUUCCACAAAGCUCUCAUAAAACAUCAAACAGAAACUCACCACCAAGGAAAGCAGAGAAUCCUUUCUUGUCUUGAGUGAAUGGCAAUGAUCUUGGUGGCCAAGAUAAUAAAUACACAUGUUUAUUAUAUUCAAAAACUAUUCUAAAAUGUAUGUUCUCUAUAUAAAGUAAUCUCCACAUGAUUCUGAGAAAAAGUUUAAUCUAUCUUUCUACUACAAAGUUCUUAAUAAUGCUUUGACAAGGAGGUACCAUAUCCCAAGAUGUGAUACAUUUUGCUCAGUUUUUAAAUUAAACAUUCUAGAGU